rnacentral:tRNA from 1 species
CGGGCUAUAGCGCAGCUUGGUAGCGCACUUGUCUGGGGGACAAGGGGUCGUGGGUUCAAAUCCCGCUAGCCCGAC